AACAGGCUCAACACCCGGAUUAGUCAAGGUUAAGGAAGCAUCUCCUCCUAAUAGUCUCUAGAACUUGCCUAAACAGGGAUCUCUUGGAUCUCAGAUUUUCCCAGUUAAAAGAAUUCCUCACAGUCUGGCACAUUACUUUCUGCUCUUCAUGGGGGAGCUUCCAGAGAACAGCUCUCCGCUUCCUCCCUGCAUAGCCAUGUUCUCAAGGACCCUCCUGCUGCUUGGAAUGCCCUUCACAGUGAGUAAGUAACGUUGUACUACAUGCUCCUGCCUUUGCAGAAGGAACAUCGUUCAGCCUGGAACACUGUCUUGUUCUAAGUAGGUCUGUCUUGGUCUCACUCAGCAUUGACGUUGCAGGAGGAACUGGAGCCCAGUCAGUGGCCCAGCCGAUGGUCACAUCACUGUCUCUGAAGGAGCCCCCCUGGGGCUGAGGUGCAGCUAUUCCUACAGUGCAGCUCCUUAUCUCUCCUGGUACAUCCGGACAAUGUUGUAUAAAGGGAAAAGGCUUUCUCCCCGCAGCAGUGCCCAGUAACAGGCGUUGUAAGUUAAUCACAGUGUCAUGCCAAAGUUUCAAGUGGGAUCUUGGCGUUGGUGGUUCUGAGUGACCCACCUAGGGCACCUGUCUCCUCUUUUCUCCCUUUUGAAUCAGUUUUUCAUCCCACUGUGUCCAAUAAAAAUUACUGAUUCCUAAUCAUCUUUAUUUUUCUACACUAUUCCUCCCAAGGCUUUUAGUGAACAUUUGCCACAUCCUUCAACUGUCCAUCAGAUCUUCACUGUCUGCAGAUCACUUCAUUUUCUACUUCAAUGAAAGUACACAGGGCCUCCUUUCCCAUCCUUUUUGGCUUCAAGUCCAACUAUGGAGAAUUAUUAUCAUUUACAGAGUCUGAGAACCACAGAUGAGAAUGUAAGAGACGUGAAAUCAUGGAUCCUCAGCACUCCUGGGAAACACUUUCCUUACGCAAGAAUCUACUACAUCCAUGCCAUCUGAGAAGAAGGAUCAGGCUAGAUAACUACUUUUGUUUUUUCUUUCCGAAAAUUACCACCCCCUCCCUCAAAUUCCAAAUUAGAGUCUGUCUUCUGCGAAAUGUUCUCAGAAAAAACGUCCCUCAGUCAUAAAAUAAUGACCCCUCUUGUUCCCACUUUCCCUCCAGCCCUCGUCACUCGUCUGAGCGCAGCUGAGGCAGGAGGGUGGGGCUUCCUGUCACAAAGUGUGGGCUUGAGCAGGAUUUGUUGGGUGAGCUGAUUGGUUUCAGGGGCUGGAAUGUUUCCAGAACCAAUCAUGAGACUCACCAUCUGAUGAGUUAAGUAUCUUACAGUGGAAACCUCCCAGCAAGAAGGUGAGGCGUCAUGAAGAGGCUGGUGGGCGCUGUGCUGGGGCUUCUGUUUGCCCAAGUUUGCUGUGUGACAGGGGAGGAUGUGGAGCAGAGUCCUCCAGUCCUGAUUCUCCAGGAGGGAGCCACCUCCACGCUGUGGUGCAAGUUUUCCACCACUGUGUCCAAUCUGCACUGGUAUCGUCAGAACCCCGGGGGCCGCCUCAUCCACCUGUUUUACGUUGCUUCAGGGACAAAGCAUGAUGGAAGAUUCAGUGCCACGACAGUCGCUAAAGAACGUCGCAGCUCCUUGAACAUUUCCUCUUCCCAGACCACAGACUCGGCGACUUACUUCUGUGCUGUGAGCACAGUGCUCCCCGGGCACCUGCAGCCUGAACACCAACCCUCAGCGGGCUCAGCCCCCUCCAGCCACAGUCUCACCGUGAGGCCGCCACCUGCAUCUGCAGGGCUUAUCAGUCCUCACCUACAUCAGUGUAGUUUUAAUCACAGACACGUUUUCACCCUACCGAUUUGGGACU